rnacentral:tRNA from 1 species
AGAGAUUUAAGUUCAAGAAAACUAAAAGCCUUCAAAGCUUUAAAUAGGAAUGUAAGUUUCCUAAUCUUUA